GGAAUGUGACAUUUCAAGCACAGGACACUGAGUUCAGACCCUGUGGAAGCACCGAGACCCACCAGGCCUUCAUAUCCCUUCAUCUCCUUGAUGCAGCUGCCACGAGAGAAGGCUGUCACUGAGCCGCGCUCUAAACUAUGCCAAGCUCAUUCCCUGCCAUGCAGAAGUUAAUUUGGGCCACAUUUGCAACUUAUAACUCUGAUUUACUCAUUUGCUGGUACGAGGACCACACACAGCUUGACAGCUUGCCAACUCGCAUAGACCAUUCCCUCGGAAAAGAUUUCACCCAAGUUAUGACCCAGCUUGGCUGCUCCAAGAACAGCUGCCGGACUCUGGUGAGACAUGGAACUGAACAUCAGAAAAACAUCUUCUCUUUGCCUCGAAUUUUUACAUGUCAUUAAUGCAUCAUAUCCCUAUUCAGAUACUUUGACAUAAAUCAUGCUUAAUUAAAUUGUUGCU
rnacentral:lncRNA from 1 species